rnacentral:rRNA from 1 species
AUACGGAGGGUGCAAGCGUUGUUCGGAAUUACUGGGCGUAAAGCGCGCGUAGGCGGUCUGUUAUGUCAGAUGUGAAAGUCCUCGGCUCAACCGGGGAAGUGCAUUUGAAACUGGCAGACUUGAGUACUGGAGGGGGUGGUGGAAUUCCCGGUGUAGAGGUGAAAUUCGUAGAUAUCGGGAGGAAUACCGGUGGCGAAGGCGACCACCUGGCCAGAUACUGACGCUGAGGUGCGAAAGCGUGGGGAGCGAACAGGAUUAGAAACCCCAGUAGUCC